GUGGGGUUAUUGUUCUUAAGGUUUGGAGGGCUAGCAAGGCGGAAGAUUUUCUUUUUGAGUAUUUUGUUUAGUAGCAAUUUAGUCAAAAGCGAAGCCUUGCAACAUAAUCUUCAGCUGAGAAGGAAAGAGGUGAAUUUGUGAUUUCUUGAUUUCUAUGGAGGAUGAAUGGAAAAUAUUAAGGUAAAGAAAUAAAUCCAUCUCAUAUGCUGCAGAGGAAAAAAAAAUUCACUUCAACAUUUUAAUUCUUUCUUUCUGGUUAUUUUCUGCUACA
rnacentral:misc_RNA from 1 species